UACGUAGGUGGCGAGCGUUAUCCGGAUUUAUUGGGCGUAAAGUGUGCGCAGACGGUUUAUUAAGUCUAAGAUGAAAGCCCGAAGCUUAACUUCGGUUUGUUUCAGAAACUGGUAGGCUAGAGUAUGGUAGAGGCAAGUGGAAUUUCUAGUGUAGCGGUAAAAUGUGUAGAUAUUAGAAGGAACACCAGUGGCGAAGGCGACUUGCUGGGCCAGCACUGACGUUCAUGCACGAAAGCGUGGGGAGCAAAUA
rnacentral:rRNA from 1 species